rnacentral:rRNA from 1 species
ACGGGAGGCAGCAGUAGGGAAUUUUCGUCAAUGGGGGGAACCCUGAACGAGCAAUGCCGCGUGAGCGAAGAAGGUCUUCGGAUCGUAAAGCUCUGUUGUAAGAGAAAAAUGGCAGAUAUAGGAAAUGAUAUCUGAGUGAUGGUAUCUUACCAGAAAGUCACGGCUAACUACGUGCCAGCAGCCGCGGUAAUACGUAGGUGGCGAGCGUUAUCCGGAAUGAUUGGGCGUAAAGGGUGCGUAGGUGGCACGAUAAGUCUGAAGUCAAAGCUGGCAGCUCAACUGUCAUACGCUUUGGAAACUGUCGAGCUAGAGUGCAGGAGAGGGCGAUGGAACUCCAUGUGUAGCGGUAAAAUGCGUAGAUAUAUGGAAGAACACCGGUGGCGAAGGCGGUCGCCUGGCCUGUAACUGACACUGAGGCACGAAAGCGUGGGGAGCAAAUAGGAUUAGAUACCCUGGUA